rnacentral:rRNA from 1 species
GACGAACGCUGGCGGCGUGCUUAACACAUGCAAGUCGAACGAAGUGGCGAACGGGUGAGUAACGCGUAAUCAACAUGCCCUUCAGAGCGGCAUAACAGUUGGAAACGACUGCUAAUACCGCAUACUGACGGUGGGCCUUGCGUCUGAUUAGCUAGUUGGAGGGGUAACGGCCCACCAAGGCGAUGCUCAGUAGCCGGUCUGAGAGGAUUAACGGCCACAUUGGGACUGAGACACGGCCCAGACUCCUACGGGAGGCAGCAGUGGGGAAUCUUCCGCAAUGGACGAAAGUCUGACGGAGCAACGCCGCGUGAGUGAUGACGGCCUUCGGGUUGUAAAGCUCUGUUAAUCGGGACGCGGUACCGGAAUAGAAAGCCACGGCUAACUACGUGCCAGCAGCCGCGGUAAUUC